rnacentral:rRNA from 1 species
CCUACGGGUGGCAGCAGUGAGGAAUAUUGGUCAAUGGGCGAAAGCCUGAACCAGCCAAGUCGCGUGCAGGAAGACGGCCCUACGGGUUGUAAACCGCUUUUAUCCGGGAGCAACGCGCCUCACGUGUGGCGCUCUGCAAGUACCCGAAGAAUAAGGAUCGGCUAACUCCGUGCCAGCAGCCGCGGUAAUACGGAGGGUGCGAGCGUUAUCCGGAUUUAUUGGGUUUAAAGGGGGCGCAGGCGGAAGGUCAAGUUAGCGGUAAAAUUUCGGGGCUAAACCCGGUCCUGCCGUGGCAACUGGGUUGCUUGAGUGAGCGAGAAGUAGGCGGAAUGCGUGGUGUAGCGGUGAAAUGCAUAGAUAUCACGAAGAACGCCGAUUGCGAAGGCAGCAUGCUGGAGCGCAACUGACGCUGAUGCUCGAAAGCGCGGGUAUCGAACAGGAUUAGAUACCCUAGUAGUC